AUAUAAAAAAAGAACAGAGUUAUCUACCGUGGUAAUUUGAUACGGACGCCAUCGGACCCGCCAAAGACAAACAAAAUUUAAAACAAUGGAUCUCAUAUAUCAAGCAUAUAUUUCUAUUGACGAUGCAACAGAUACAGAACUUCAUAUUAGAAUAUUGACGGAAUCAAAAGCCAUCUUAACCGUUAUUACAGCAGCGGAAGGACUUUGACACUGAAGUGGGAAUGAAAAGAGCUUGAAUGAAUCCAUAUCAUAGAUCAAAUUGAAGAACAGAUCAGGAAGAAAGAAAAGGAUGAUUUAAUUUCAAGAGCAGAUGAUACAAAAGUUCACCUGACAACCAAAAAGGAACUGCAUACCAAGAGCAUUUAUCUUUCAAAAGAAGAUUGUUCCAUAAUGAAAAAUUCCUUUAUCAUAGGAGAUGAACUGACAAUUUCUGUUUUGUUGAGGAAAAAAAUCAUCAAAUUUUAUAAUUGUAUUUUUUGAUUGCAUUUAGUGAGACUUAAAAAUAAAUUAUUGAACUAAUUUGAA